GACGAACGCUGGCGGCGUGCUUAACACAUGCCAGUCGAACGGUGAAGCGCCUUCCUUUUUGGUGGGUGUGGAUGAGUGGCGAACGGGUGAGUAACACGUGAGUAACCUGCCCCCUUCUUCUGGAUAACCGCAUGAAAGUGUGGCUAAUACGGGAUAUUCUGGGUCUGUCGCAUGAUGGGUCUGGGAAAGAUAUUGUUUCGGUGGGGGAUGGGCUCGCGGCCUAUCAGCUUGUUGGUGGGGUGAUGGCCUACCAAGGCGGUGACGGGUAGCCGGCCUGAGAGGGUGGACGGUCACACUGGGACUGAGACACGGCCCAGACUCCUGCGGGAGGCAGCAGUGGGGAAUAUUGCACAAUGGGCGGAAGCCUGCUGCAGCGACGCCGCGUGAGGGAUGGAGGCCUGCGGGUUGUGAACCUCUUUCGCCAGUGAAGCAGGCCUGCCUCGUUUGUGGGUGGGUUGACGGUAGCUGGAUAAGAAGCGCCGGCUAACUACGUG
rnacentral:rRNA from 1 species